GAUGAAGAACGUAGCGAAAUGCGAUAAGUAAUGUGAAUUGCAGAAUUCAGUGAAUCAUCGAAUCUUUGAACGCACAUUGCGCCCCUUGGUAUUCCGAGGGGCAUGCCUGCUCGAGCGUCAUUAUAACCCCUCAAGCUCAGCUUGGUGUUGGGGCCUGCUGCACUGGCAGCCCUUAAAAUCAGUGGCGGCGCCAUCUGGCUCUAAGCGUAGUAAUUCUUCUCGCUAUGGAGUCCUGGUGGAUGCUUGCCAUCAACCCCCAAUCGUUCUAUGGUUGACCUCGGAUCAGGUAGGGAUACCCGCUGUACUUAAGCAUAUCAAUAAGCGGAGGA
rnacentral:misc_RNA from 1 species